rnacentral:rRNA from 1 species
CAGCCGCCGCGGUAAUACGGGGGGAGCUAGCGUUAUCCGGAAUGAUUGGGCGUAAAGCGUCUGUAGGUGGUUUAGAAAGCCCACUGUCAAAUCCCAAGGCUCAACCUUGGUCAGGCAGUGGGGUACUUCUAAGCUUGAGUAUGGUAGAGGUAGAGGGAACCCCUAGCGUAACAGUGAAAUGUGUUGAUUUUAGGGAGAACACCAGAGGCGAAGGCGCUCUACUGGGCCAAAACUGACACUGAGAGACGAAAGCUAAGGGAGCGAAAAGGAUUAGAUACCCUUGUAGUCUUAGCUGUAAACGAUGGAAACUAAGUGCUGCAAAAAAGCAGUGCUGUAGCUAACGCGUUAAGUUUCCCGCCUGGGGAGUAUGCUCGCAAGAGUGAAACUUAAAUGAAUUGACGG